rnacentral:tRNA from 1 species
AGUUGUUUAGCUUAUAUAAAGUAAAUAUUUUGAAAAUAUUAGAAAGAGAAAUUUAAUAACUU